rnacentral:rRNA from 1 species
GACGAACGCUGGCGGCGUGCUUAACACAUGCAAGUCGAACGAAGUGGCGAACGGGUGAGUAACGAGUAAUCAACCUGCCCUUCAGAGGGGGACAACAGGUGGGAACGACUGCUAAUAUCGCAUACUGAAGGAGGGGAUUGCGUGUGAUUAGCUAGUUGGCGGGGUAACGGCCCACCAAGGCGAGGAUCAGUAGCCGGUGUGAGAGGAGGAGUGGCCGCAUUGGGACUGAGACACGGCCCAGAGUCCCACGGGAGGCAGCAGUGGGGAAUCUUGCGCAAUGGACGAAAGUCUGACGGAGCAACGCCGCGUGAGUGAUGACGGCCUUCGGGUUGUAAAGCUCUGUUAAUCGGGACGCGGUACCGGAAGAGAAAGCCACGGCUAACUACGUGCCAGCAGCCGCGGUAAUAC